CAUUUAUGUCCCAGCUGGACAGGUACACUACAAAACUCCUGGAGCUCUUCAGUGCAAAAGGAGGAGUGACUGGUCAGCGCAUCAAGAACUUGUUGAUGGAACUGAUACAGGACCCAAGUGCCUCUGCAGUGAUGAAGAGAGAUGUGACUCUGAGAUGCCUCAUAGAGUACAUGGGAGAGAGUGGACAGGAGCUAAUCUCUGACUACUGUGGAACUGCAGAGACCACUGUUCAUGAGGACCUGGAAAUGAAGAAUAUGA